UGAUGAUGAUGAUGAUGAUGAUGAUGAUAACCCUAAUACUAUCCGAUGGAUUCUUUCAUUUCUUACAUGCACAGUAUUAUUAUUACUAUCAUCAUCAUCACUCUUU
rnacentral:miRNA from 1 species